CCUCCCAGGAUGCCUACCAUCAGGAAAGUUGUGAUUAUUCUGUUAUCAACUAGUAUUGGUGAUGUCACAUGCUGUCAGGAGACAUAGAAAAAAAAAAGUGAUUCUCUUCACGUUACGGGAAUAACUGAGAAGACACUGACAGCGGGGGAGGGUCCAGCUGUAGCCGAGCUGAAGCUGGUAGCGAACAGCGGGAACAGCUGAUCAACCAGGACUCUGGUUCCAAGAAACGAAGCGCAAGAAAGAGAAAAUGCAAGCAAACCAGCUCUCACGCUUGAAAGUGGUUCAUGUCCAUCCCUCCGCAGAAGCACAGGCAGGGAAGAAUUCACAUGACAUGAGCUGCUGAAAGCUCUGGACCAAGAUGGUGASAGCGAGAUUGACUUCAAAGAGUUUUCUAUGUUUGUCAUUUGCCUGCUGUGUGCCGCCCAAGGCCUCUGCUGCAAAGAGAAGUAAAGAGUGAAACCACAAGGGCGUGGUCCGACCAUAUCAACAAAAACAUGAAACCCUCAUYGUUACUUUUGUUUUCUGAAAAACAAAUAAAGCAAUUUACCUGCCUUUA